AGAAGGCCACAAUUUAUCUUUCAGAACUAAUCUUAUGUGAUAAUGACUUUAUGCAUUGCCCCUGCCAGAUAACUUCUGCCUUUAAAUGGUGGUUGCCAAUGCCUUUAAACUGAAGUCUUGAAGUCUUAGUCACCAGAAUCAAGCCAAGGCCAGCUGAAGGUGUUCAGUGCUUCUCAAAUUAUACCAAGGAAAAGUUUUUCUGUUCAGUCAGAGGAAUAAAGAGGUAAUAAAGAAAAUGUUGGGACUCCGGUGAAGAUUCAUCUUUCUAGGUCUAGGAAACACUGGCAUUCACCCAAAAUACAGUGUGGAUUGUUUGCUUUUCAGGUCUCUAAGUCCACUGCUGACAGGAAAAUCUUCAGUGGUUCCAGAGACAAGCUGCUGGAAAUCCUGCACAUUUAUCUUCUAGAAGGAAGUAAACUGAUUAGGAUAGUGGUCCCUUCAGAAAGAACCUCCCCUAAAACUUUAAAGGACUCCAAAUUAAGCCAUGUUCAUAUCUGGGACCCUAAAGUGGCUCAUAAAAGUUAGGGACCGCCUGCUUAAUGUUAGGUGAUUGCAAAAGCUUUAAGAUUCAAAGGGGGGAGUGAAGGUGGGGAAGGUGAUGGUGAAUAAAUUGUGAGAGCCUCCCA
rnacentral:lncRNA from 1 species